GACGAACGCUGGCGGCGUGCUUAACACAUGCAAGUCGAACGAUGAUCCGGGUGCUUGCACCUGGGGAUUAGUGGCGAACGGGUGAGUAACACGUGAGUAACCUGCCCUGGACUCUGGGAUAACCCCGAGAAAUCGGAGCUAAUACCGGAUAGGACCUUUCCUCGCAUGAGGUGGGGUGGAAAGUUUUUUCGGUUUGGGAUGGACUCGCGGCCUAUCAGAUUGUUGGUGAGGUAAUGGCUCACCAAGGCGUCGACGGGUAGCCGGCCUGAGAGGGUGACCGGCCACACUGGGACUGGGACACGGCCCAGACUCCUACGGGAGGCAGCAGUGGGGAAUAUUGCACAAUGGGCGCAGGCCUGAUGCAGUAACGCCGCGUGCGGGAUGACGGCCUUCGGGUUGUAAACCGCUUUUAGUAGGGAAGAAGCCUCUUGGGGUGACGGUACCUGCAGAAAAAGGACCGGCUAACUACGUGCCAGCCGCCGCGGUAAAAC
rnacentral:rRNA from 1 species